rnacentral:tRNA from 1 species
CGGGGCGUGGCUCAGCUUGGUAGAGCGCGUGGUUUGGGACCACGAGGUCCUCGGUUCAAAUCCGAGCGCCCCGA